CGGGGAGGCGGGACAGCCGGUCCUGACGGGCCGGGACGCGGCGCUAGUACCGGAGCUUGAAAGGUAUCCUCCGGCCCCUCCCUGUGCACUCCUGCGUCAGCCUGGAGCGUGAUCUCGGGCCUCCCAACCCCUUCCCAGCAGCCUCGGAUCAGAAGCCUCCAGGCAGGUUGCCCAGGGCUUUCUUUUGCUCCUGCAGGUGCUGAAUGCAUUUACUCCACCUCUGGAAGGGCUAACUGAGGGGCCGCAGAGAGCAGGGCAACCCAUCAAGUCCCCCAUCUAGUGGCGGAGACAUGCAAAGAUAAGGAAUGUAUAUCGGGCCUCUGUCUCAAGUAGGUCAAUUUUAAUGAUGACUCAUCACAUCACUUGAAAAGAUGAAGGAAACAAGGGAAGAGUCCUGGCCGUGAUACUGUGAGUUGGUUCGGAGUCAUAGGGAUCAGAUGCAGAAGCAUCAGGAAACCAAGAGCAACCUUCAGUGGCAGAGGCACUCAGCCGCAGGGAGAGUCCUUCCUCAUGAGAGUCUGGGUGAAGAAUGCGUUUGUGGAAAGCAGUGCUGAAUGUUUCACUCAGCUUUCUCCAUAAGCAUGCCUGGUGUGUUAAAAUUGUCCACAAUAAUUUAGGUUCAAACAACAUUUGGAAAGCAGUAAUGUUGAGAAAUGAUGUAAAAAUAAUGAAUGCGCAAAACUUCCCAGCACGUUAUCCUUAUUCAAAAAGACUUGAGCAGAAGAUAAAUCCUACAAAUUUAUGAACACAGUUUCCUCUUUUAGCUAGAGUUCAAUCCUCAGUAGACUGGAAAUUUUCCAGGGAAGAAAACAUUUGAUUAUAAAGAAUAUAGGAAACUUUAAAAUCAUGGAAUAACUCUUAAUGAAUAUCAGAAAGUUCUUGUUAAAAGAAUCAAUAAAUAUGCAAUACAACAUCCCAGAGCACAAGUCCGUCCCAGAACGGGAGAGCUCCUUCUGCAGAGAAACGCUGUGUGUGGUCAGUGGUGCAUGGUGACUUUCUUCUGGUGUCGUUUUCACUCGUUUUUCCUCUUUGUUUGUGGGAGAGUCUUCAUGCCCACUCAGUGGCUUGUUUUCUUUGUAUUUAUCAAUGUAAAUUUGAAAACUUCAGUGAGAUACCACUCAAACCGCAGAUAGUCAACAAAUCUGUGAGUGUCCAGGAGUCUCUGGCAGAGGUGUGGGUCGGUGGCGGCCUGCUGCAGGGUUGGGGGCAUGGACUAUAGCAGUACAUGCCUGGGAUCUUUUGAGGGAGGCCACCAUUAUCUUCAUCACCUCCAUCAUAGUUUGGCCCCAGGUAAAUAGCAGGGAGGGAACACAGCUCCACCUGUUCACUCCACCAGAGCUCUCUGCAGGCUGAACUAUCUGUUGUGACGUUUUCAGAGAAAAGCUAGGGCUUGACAUCAUUGCUUGCAGAUCACUUCUGUACGCUCCUUGUUGCAGGCUGGUUUUCCAGAAGCAGACACAGAGGAGGAACUCGGUGGCAGGACGAGUAAGCAAAGGCUUCCUGUCUGGUGCAACUCACAGGGACCUCUAGCCGGCUCAUCCCUGGCAAGCCGAGGCGCGCGCAUGCGCAGGACUCGCGGGGCGCGCCCUGAAAGUAUUCUUGAGAGUACCUUGGACUGGGAUGAGAUCAAACCAGUCAAUCCUAAAGGAAAC